GUAACACCUUAACGAGUCAAGGUGUGGUCAGAAAUGUUUGUAUAAAGUUAGUUUACAAUGUGGCGUGGACACACACACUGGAUUUCUGAGGUCCCAGUUUGCGGGCUAGGUGUAUGUAGUUUUGUAUUGUAAAGUAUGGAGAUAUAGUACAGAUGGUGGUGAAACCUGUUGACAGUGCGGCGUUCCGUGUUUAUCAUCAAUAGUUUGGCAACAUAGAAUAUUUGGAGUCGAGUCUAGACAAUAGGGCAGCCGUAAUGUGUACACCGCUUAUGUUGGGCCAGUUUUGUGUAGUUACCGAAAACCAAAUACGUAAAAUUCCGUAGUAUCGUUUAUCCAGAUUUCAUAGUUUAAUAUAAAGAAGAAGGAACAGUUCAUUAAACAUUUGACAGUAUUAUUUCAUUUGAUUUCAUCUAUUUAUAUUUGUAAAUUUGUACCUAAUUAAAUUGUUAUUUUGUUUAAA